UAGGGAAUCUUCGGCAAUGGGGACAACCCUGACCGAGCAACGCCGCGUGAGUGAAGAAGGUUUUCGGAUCGUAAAGCUCUGUUGUAAGUCAAGAACGAGUGUGAGAGUGGAAAGUUCACACUGUGACGGUAGCUUACCAGAAAGGGACGGCUAACUACGUGCCAGCAGCCGCGGUAAUACGUAGGUCCCGAGCGUUGUCCGGAUUUAUUGGGCGUAAAGCGAGCGCAGGCGGUUUGAUAAGUCUGAAGUUAAAGGCUGUGGCUCAACCAUAGUUCGCUUUGGAAACUGUCAAACUUGAGUGCAGAAGGGGAGAGUGGAAUUCCAUGUGUAGCGGUGAAAUGCGUAGAUAUAUGGAGGAACACCGGUGGCGAAAGCGGCUCUCUGGUCUGUAACUGACGCUGAGGCUCGAAAGCGUGGGGAGCGAACAGGAUUAGAUACCCUGGUUAGUCCACGCCGUAAACGAUGAGUGCUAGGUGUUGGAUCCUUUCCGGGAUUCAGUGCCGCAGCUAACGCAUUUAAGCACUCCGCCUGGGGAGUACGACCGCAAGGUUG
rnacentral:rRNA from 1 species